GUCUAUGGCCAUACCACGCUGAAGGUCUGGGCUCAGAGGCUAAGCAGGGUUGGACCUGGUUAGUACUUGGAUGGGAGAAGAGUAUACCAGGGUGAGCUGACC
rnacentral:rRNA from 1 species